UAAGGGACAGCGCAACCGCUCAUCCGACAAGCCGCACACUUGUGUUGCUAGGGAAGGUGGUAGUGC
ncrna:unclassified sequences S15-Halobacteria ribosomal protein leader